rnacentral:tRNA from 3 species
GCCACCUUAGCUCAGCUGGCUAGAGCAACGGUUUUGUAAACCGUGGGUCGUCGGUUCGAAUCCGACAGGUGGCUCCA